AUUGAACGCUGGCGACAGGCCUAACACAUGCAAGUCGAACGAGUGGCGGACGGGUGAGUAAUGUCUGGGAAACUGCCCGAUGGCGGGGGAUAACUACUGGAAACGGUAGCUAAUACCGCAUACCAUCGGAUGUGCCCAGAUGGGAUUAGCUAGUAGGUGGGGUAACGGCUCACCUAGGCGACGAUCCCUAGCUGGUCUGAGAGGAUGACCAGCCACCCGGGAACGGAGACACGGCCCAGACUCCUACGGGAGGCAGCAGUGGGGAAUAUUGCACAAUGGGGGCAAGCGGGAUGCAGCAAUGCGGCGUGAAUGAAGAAGGCGUUAGGGUGGUAAAGUACUGUAAGCGAGGAGGCGUUACUAGCAGAAGAAGCACCGGCUAACUCCGUGCCAGCAGCCGCGGUAAUAC
rnacentral:rRNA from 1 species